GGCUCUGCUCCUCCCUGCUUGGAUCCCCCAGCUUGGGGAAGAGCACUGGGUUGUCCAGGGUCAACAGCUCUCCAGAAAUAGCAGCCAAGAGUGAAUGUUUUCCUGCUAACCCGCUCAAGAGAGAGAAGAGGGGCUGAAGGGGAAGGCUAGCACUGUGCUUGUGUUGUCUGGGCUUUCCAGCUGGCAGGUUUGGGAGCCAACAGACCCUCUGGCCAAGAGAACAGCUGAGGUAGAUGUGUUCCCAGUUACACACAGAUGACUUGAAGAGUCUGUCACUAACUCCUAGGCUUGUAGGAUAACCCAGGUGGGAAGGGAGCUCAGGAGGUGAUGUAGUCCAACCUCCUGGUCCAAGCAGGGUCAUGGAGAGGUUUCUAAAAUGUUCCUGCUUUGAUAAGUCAGCCUCCUCUAGCUGUUGCUGGAUCAGCCCUGCCAGAAACAACUUAGUUGAGAGGCUGGAAAGGAUUUCAUAAGUACUGUAUCUUUCCCUUCAGAUAACACAAUAUAAAUGUCGAAUAACCUGCACACAUUCCUCUUCUUCCCUCCUACACUUCUGAUUAAGAACAUAGGCUAGAGGUUUCAGAAACAGCAAUGAAGCCUAAAUCCCACUGGCUCUUCAGAGCACUUGAAAAUGUCCAUAUUGAGUCAGAGCACACAGCUGGUGAUCCUGGGAAGCAGCAUCCACCUGCAUAAGAGCAGGAUGCAGGGAAUGCAACAGGGUACUUUCACUGCCAGUUGAUUUGCCCACUGGCACUUCCCCAAGUCUUCUCUGAACUAUUAGGAGGUUUUCCUGAAUGCAAAUGAUCUGAUGUCUCCUUUCUUCAGAUCCAUUGCCUUUCUGAGCCCAGUCUGAGACACAGUGUGAGGAGUGGGGGCAUAUAGACGUGAGAAAUGUAUUUGAGUACAGACAGUACAUCAUUGAAAUUGCUUGCUUUUCUGUGCUGAUGCCUUUCACUGGGACACAGAUAACUUGAUUUGGCACUAUUCAUUGCUAAGUUUUCCAUACCAACCGCAGCUGAGCUUUGUUUAAAUGAGGUUUGCUGAAGCUGUGCUGAAAGUGAGUUUAAAGGUUCACAGUCUUUGGAGCAAAUCCAGGCAGCUCUUUGUGCCUUCAACUCCCUUGGAAACUACAGAGGGCUGGGGGCCGGGAGAAGAUUUGCAUGAGCAAGUUUUUCCCCAGUCCCUGCUCAAGUGCAAAGGGCAGCAGCUAGCAGCAGCAGAAAUUAGAUACCGUGGGCCAGAUUCUUCCUCCCCCUCAGGGUCCUCUUACCUGCGUCUCUGCUGUUUUGACCUGAGAUCACUCGGUACACAUGUAACCGGUGACUUGGGAUGCAAGCAGUGAGGAAUCAAGCUACAGCGAAGCAGUUUUAGGGGUAACAAACUACAGCCCCUGCUUUGUGCCCUGCAUUGUGGCAGUCAGAGAAGAGGAGGCUAAUUUUGCUCUGGAAUUAAAAGGCAUCAAAAGCUGUCCUCUCUCCCGAAAACAACUGUCACCAGAAUGAACACACCAGUCAGGCUGGUGAUGAAUGGUAAUGACUCAGCCUCCACUGCAGAUGCACAAAGAGGAGUCUAUCCGUUCCCAUUUGCCACAUCGUCCCUUGACGGCAGCCUCACCUACAUUGCUCUCAGCAUGAGAUGUUCCAAACCUGUUCCCCAAGGGAACAGGCUGCAGUUUUCCUUGAGAAAGAAUAAGUUAACAUAGACAAAAGCAGCCCACCUCAGGUGGAUGCCCUGACCCUCCUUCUUCCUGCUCCAUCUUUGCAUUUGUGGAAGCAUGUUUGCUGUGUCAGUUUGCAUGCCCCUGUUUUUGCCAUUUCCUGCCCUCAGCCAUCCAGCCUAACAAUGCGGCUUCCUCCCUGCAUUA